GCCUGCACCUGCCAGGCAGGAUACUUAAGGCAAGACUUUGACGCUUCUCCUUGUCCUACCUUUGCAGAGGAGUGACUGGUAUGGUAUGUCAGGGCUUUGCAUGAGGUAAGAGUGAAAGGAGAAAGAAAAGGUGUAAGAGAAAAUAUAAAUUAGAAAAGAAACAGGAUUGGAAAGUGGAGGAAAAAGAAAGAUGAAAAAUUAAGAUCUAAGACAACUGAAAAGAAUGAACUAAUAUAGUUUUAAUAUAGCAGAUGGAGAACUGACAACGCAUGACUGCACAGCUGUGCUCAGGGCCACGUGUGUGCGGCCACGACUCCGGUCCUGCAUCAGGAAGCGGAAGAGGGAAGAUCUGGAUGGGACUGAAGCGGAUGAGAUGAAGAAUCUCUCGAGUGGAAGAAUACACAAUCCCUCCAAUGACCUCCGAUGGCUGCACAUAAGGUAUGGCGUCAGACCAUGGGUGACCAGCCAGAGAGCACGCCGGGCCUUCGAGACAGCCACCAAGAGUCUGACUGACACAGAAGUAUCUUGCAAUAUAUCAGAAGUAAACAUUACUGCGUGAAGCGGGCGGACAACGCAGUGAGGGCUAGUAAGCUCCUGGAUUCGCUGGCUGGUCAGUCAACCACUGAUCCUUCAGAAGGGGAAUCCAGCCUGUAGCAUUGCUCGCGGUGCUGCCCAGCAGAAAGCAGACACGACAGAUCUGCAAACGGAUCUUGAGGCAGCGUACGGCCGACUUGUCGAACAGCACCCGGUGACUCUGGGGGGUGAGGCGCCAGAUAAGACUCUGCGUGCUGAAAUCUCAGCUAGCUUUCAGCGGAAGCUGUACGAGCGAUUGUUUGAAGGCACAGAUGAAACUGCACAAGCAGCAUAUUCACUUUAUUCACAAGUAUUUUUUGAAGCUAUAUUUAAAGAUAUUUACCAAGUAACAUGAAAGAUUGUUAGUUAAGACUAUACUUGACAACUUUGAACAUGGCAUGUUUUCUUAAUGGCGCCCUUUGGCCCUCGUCU